ACCGGCGCAAGGGUGCGUAACGCGUGAGCAACAUGCCCGUAUCAGGGGGAUAAUCCAUGGAAACGUGGUCUAAUACCCCAUAGUAAGUUUUUGGGGCAUCUCAAAGAUUUUAAAGCUUUGGUGGAUACGGAUUGGCUCGCGUGACAUUAGCUAGAUGGUAAGGUAACGGCUUACCAUGGCUACGAUGUCUAGGGGUUCUGAGAGGAAGGUCCCCCACACUGGAACUGAGACACGGUCCAGACUCCUACGGGAGGCAGCAGUGAGGAAUAUUGGACAAUGGAUGGAAAUCUGAUCCAGCCAUGCCGCGUGCAGGAAGACGGCCCUAUGGGUUGUAAACUGCUUUUGUAUGGGAGCAAUAAGGGCUACGUGUAGUCCGAUGAGAGUACCAUACGAAUAAGCACCGGCUAACUCCGUGCCAGCAGCCGCGGUAAUACGGAGGGUGCAAGCGUUAUCCGGAUUUAUUGGGUUUAAAGGGUGCGUAGGCGGUUUGAUAAGUCAGCGGUGAAAUAUUUCAGCUUAACUGGAAGGGUGCCGUUGAUACUGUCGAGCUUGAAUUUAGUUGCUGUGGGUGGAAUGUGUGGUGUAGCGGUGAAAUGCAUAGAUAUCACACAGAAUAUCGAUUGCGAAGGCAGCUCACAAAGCUAAUAUUGACGCUGAUGCACGAAAGUGUGGGGAUCAAACAGGAUUAGAUACCCUGGUAGUCCACACUGUAAACGAUGACAACUCGCUGUCGG
rnacentral:rRNA from 1 species